UACGGGGGGGGCAAGCGUUGUUCGGAAUUACUGGGCGUAAAGGGCUCGUAGGCGGCCAACUAAGUCAGACGUGAAAUCCCUCGGCUUAACCGGGGAACUGCGUCUGAUACUGGAUGGCUAGAGUGUGUCAGAGGGGGGUAGAAUUCCACGUGUAGCAGUGAAAUGCGUAGAGAUGUGGAGGAAUACCGAUGGCGAAGGCAGCCCCCUGGGAUAACACUGACGCUCAUGCACGAAAGCGUGGGGAGCAACAGG
rnacentral:rRNA from 1 species